rnacentral:rRNA from 1 species
GAACGCACCGCAAGGUGAGUGGCAGACGGGUGAGUAACGCGUGGGAACCUUCCCUGUGGUACGGAAUAACUUCGGGAAACCGAAGCUAAUACCGUAUAUCUCCUCCGGGAGAAAGAUUUAUCGCCAUAGGAUGGGCCCGCGUUGGAUUAGCUAGUUGGUAGGGUAAUGGCCUACCAAGGCAACGAUCCAUAGCUGGUCUGAGAGGAUGAUCAGCCACACUGGGACUGAGACACGGCCCAGACUCCUACGGGAGGCAGCAGUGGGGAAUAUUGGACAAUGGGGGAAACCCUGAUCCAGCCAUGCCGCGUGAGUGAAGAAGGCCUUAGGGUUGUAAAGCUCUUUUGGCGGGGACGAUAAUGACGGUACCCGCAGAAUAAGCCCCGGCUAACUUCGUG